rnacentral:rRNA from 1 species
UUAAGCUAGAAAGGGUGCACGUGAGGAUGCCUAGGCACUAAGAGCCGACGAAGGACGUGGUUAAGCUGCGAAAAGCCCCGGUGAGACGCAAACAGUCUUUGACCCGGGGGUGUCCGAGAUUCGGAAACGACGCCAAGUAAAUCUUGGCGAGCCGUACGUCAAUAAAUAGCGUGCGGUAGGGAACGCAGGGAACUGAUCCAUCUAAGUACCUGCAGGAAAAGAAAGAGACAUCGAUUCCCCCAGUAGCGGCGAGCGAAAAGGGAUGAGCCCAAACCGGUUAUGUGUAAGCCCGUGAGCGUUGCAUAGUCGGGGUUGUGAGAGCUGGAGCCACAGUUACGGACGUGGCACGGAGUUACCAAGUUAUGUUCUAGACGAGCCUACUGGAAAGUAGGGCCAUAGAGGGUGAUAGCCCCGUAGUCGAAAGGAUAUAGCCUCCGCCAGAGUUCUCGAGUAGCGCCUGUCCCGUGGAACCAGGUGUGAAUCAGCGCGGCCCACCGCGCAAGGCUAAAUACUACUUAGUGACCGAUAGUGAAGAGUAGCGCGAGCGAAAGGUGAAAAGAACCCCUGUUAGGGGAGUGAAACAGAACCUGAAACCGUGCACCUACCAGCGGUCGGAGCCCUAUUAAUGGGGUGACGGCGUGCCUUUUGCAUAAUGACCCGGCGAG